rfam:Triticum aestivum genome assembly, contig: Triticum_aestivum_CS42_TGACv1_scaffold_033872_1BL
CUACUACUCGCUCCGUCCCGAAUUACUUGUCGCAGAAAUGGAUGUAUCUAGACCUAAAAAAUGUCUAGAUACAUCCAUUUCUACGACAAGUAAUUCUGAACGUAGGGAGUAGUAA